rnacentral:ncRNA from 1 species
AGUGGUUUGGCACCUCGAUGUCGGCUCAUCGCAUCCUGGGGCUGAAGUAGGUCCCAAGGGUUGGGCUGUUCGCCCAUUAAAGCGGUACGCGAGCUGGGUUCAGAACGUCGUGAGACAGUUCGGUCCCUAUCCGGCGCGGGCGUAGGAUAUUUGAGAGGAGCUGUCCUUAGUACGAGAGGACCGGGAUGGACUGACCUCUGGUGUAUCUGUUGGGUAUCAAACCCAUGGCAGAGUAGCCAAGUCGGGACGGGAUAAACGCUGAAGGCAUCUAAGCGUGAAGCCCCCCUCAAGAUGAGAUAUCCCAUCGCAAGAGUAAGACCCCUUGAAGACGACGAGGUAGAUAGGGCAGAGGUGGAAGCAUGGCAACAUGUGCAGCUGACUGUUACUAAUCGGUCGAGGGCUUAACCAA